rnacentral:SRP_RNA from 14 species
GUGAGCAGUCGUUGCACUGUCGGUGCUUGCUCGAAGGACAGCUGGGGAUGGGGUGGGGCGAGAGACAUCUGGAGGUGGAAGGCGAAGCU